rnacentral:lncRNA from 1 species
GUCUAGAGCACAACGGACUGUUAGCUUACGAGGCCCAUCGAAUACAUUCCGAAGCUACUAGCUAGCAGUCAGCUAUCCUUUGCUAGCGGUCAUCAACUACCUUUAUCCCGGACAACUCUCGCCAGUCUGUACAGCGCGACUCAAACCAGAGCUAGUCGGACUUAUUCUUCUCCAUAUCUCCGGAUUCCUAUCGCAAGCUCUGAACCUAUUUUUUUAAAUUAUUAUUAUAUAUAUAUAUAUUUUUUUCCCACCUAGAAUUACAGCAGCUAACGUCCCCUGAACGCACAGCUGCUAAUCCGCGGCCUGCUAGCUAUCUAAAGCACAUUGAACUGCUGGCUUAAGAGGCCCUUCGGACAUAUUUCUUUGGCCACUAUACAUAUUUUGCCAAUUGGCCUGGUUUACCACACAGAGCCCUGCUGAUCCGUCCUCUGAUGUAACUGCACGAGGAGGCCACAACAGACUUUCCUCCGUCGCGUCGCCCCUCUAAGGCCUUUCUGUUAGCCUGCUAGCCCGCCGCUAGCUGCCUGAAGCCACGCACUGGACUCUUAUGAUCACCCGGCUACGCAUGCCUCUCCCUUACAUCACCAUGCCUUGUCCAUUGCUGUUUUGCUUUGUAACUAUUGUUUUAUUUCACUGUAGAGCCUCUAGCACUGCUCAAAACGCCUCAGCUAACAAUUUAGUUCCACCUCCCACACACGCAGUGACAUCACCUGGUUUAAAUGCUAUUUCUAGAGACAAUAUCUCUUUCAUUAUCACUAUAUGCACAGGUUUACCCCCACUGUAUUCACAUCCUACUAUACCUUUGUCUGUACAUUAUGCCUUGAAUAUAUUCUACCGUGCCCAGAAAUCUGCUCCUUUUACUCUCUGUUCUGAACGUGCUAGACGGCCAGUUCUGUUAGCCUUUAGCCGUACCCUUAUCCUACUCCUCCUCUGUUCCUCUGGUGAUGUAGAGGUUAAUCCAGGCCCUGCAGUGUCUAGCUCCACUCCCAUCCCCCAGGCUCUCUCAUUUGUUGACUUCUGCAACCGUAAAAGCCUUGGUUUCAUGCAUGUUAACAUUAGAAGCCUCCUCCCUAAGUUUGUUUUAUUCACUGCCGUAGCACACUCCACCAAUCCGGAUGUCCGAGCCAUGUCUGAAUCCUGGCUUAGGAAGACCACCAAAAACCUUGAAAUUUCCAUUCCUAACUAUAACAUUUUCCGACAAGAUAGAACUGCCAAAAGGGGCGGUGUUGCAAUCUACUGCAAAGAUAACCUGCAGAGUUCUGUCUUACUAUCCAGGUCUGUGCCCAAACAAUUUGAGCUCCUACUUCUCAUCCCGACAGUAGAGGAUGCCUGGUUGUUCUUUAAAAGUGCCUUCCUCACCAUCUUAAAUAAGCAUGCCCCAUUCAAAAAAUGUAGAACCAGGAAUAGAUAUAGCCCUUGGUUCACUCCAGACCUGUCUGCCCUUGACCAGCACAAAAACAUCCUGUGGCGUUCUGCAUUAGCAUCGAAUAGCCCCCGUGAUAUGCAACUUUUCAGGGAAGUUAGGAACCAAUAUACACAGGCAGUCAGAAAAGCUAAGGCUAGCUUUUUUAAACAGAAAUUUGCAUCCUGCAGUACAAACUCAAAAAAGUUCUGUGACACUGUAAAGUCCAUGGAGAAUAAGAGCACCUCCUCCCAGCUACCCACUGCUCUGAGGCUAGGAAACACUGUUACAACCGAUAAAUCCACUAUAAUUGAGAAUUUCAAUAAGCAUUUCUCUACAGCUGGCCAUGCUUUCCACCUGGCUACCCCUACCCCGGUCAACUGCCCGGCACCCUCCACAGCAACCCGCCCAAGC